UACGUAGGUGGCAAGCGUUGUCCGGAAUUAUUGGGCGUAAAGCGCGCGCAGGUGGUUUCUUAAGUCUGAUGUGAAAGCCCACGGCUCAACCGUGGAGGGUCAUUGGAAACUGGGGAACUUGAGUGCAGAAGAGGAAAGUGGAAUUCCAAGUGUAGCGGUGAAAUGCGUAGAGAUUUGGAGGAACACCAGUGGCGAAGGCGACUUUCUGGUCUGUAACUGACACUGAUGCGCGACAGCAUGGGGAGCAACAGG
rnacentral:rRNA from 1 species